rnacentral:rRNA from 1 species
AUUGAACGCUGGCGGCAGGCUUAACACAUGCAAGUCGAGCGGGGUGAUGGUGCUUGCACUAUCACUUAGCGGCGGACGGGUGAGUAAUGCUUAGGAAUCUGCCUAUUAGUGGGGGACAACAUCUCGAAAGGGAUGCUAAUACCGCAUACGUCCUACGGGAGAAAGCAGGGGAUCACUUGUGACCUUGCGCUAAUAGAUGAGCCUAAGUCGGAUUAGCUAGUUGGUGGGGUAAAGGCCUACCAAGGCGACGAUCUGUAGCGGGUCUGAGAGGAUGAUCCGCCACACUGGGACUGAGACACGGCCCAGACUCCUACAGGAGGCAGCAGUGGGGAAUAUUGCACAAUGGGCGCAAGCCUGAUGCAGCCAUGCCGCGUGUAUGAAGAAGGCCUUCGGGUUGUAAAGUACUUUCAGCGGGGAGGAAGGCGGUGAAGUUAAUAACUUCACCGAUUGACGUUACCCGCAGAAGAAGCACCGGCUAACUCCGUGCCAGCAGCCGCCGUAA